rnacentral:rRNA from 1 species
AUUGAACGCUGGCGGCAGGCCUAACACAUGCAAGUCGAGCGGAUGAAGGGAGCUUGCCCCUGGAUUCAGCGGCGGACGGGUGAGUAAUGCCUAGGAAUCUGCCUGGUAGUGGGGGAUAACGUCCGGAAACGGGCGCUAAUACCGCAUACGUUCUGAGGGAGAAAGAGGGGGAUCUUCGGACCUCACGCUAUCAGAUGAGCCUAGGUCGGAUUAGCUAGUUGGUGGGGUAAAGGCCUACCAAGGCGACGAUCCGUAACUGGUCUGAGAGGAUGAUCAGUCAAACUGGAACUGAGACACGGUCCAGACUCCUACGGGAGGCAGCAGUGGGGAAUAUUGGACAAUGGGCGAAAGCCUGAUCCAGCCAUGCCGCGUGUGUGAAGAAGGUCUUCGGAUUGUAAAGCACUUUAAGUUGGGAGGAAGGGCAGUAAGUUAAUACCUUGCUGUUUUGACGUUACCAACAGAAUAAGCACCGGCUAACUUCGUG